GCGGCUCGGUGUGCAGAGCACACAAUGCCCCGCUGGAAAACAGAAACCCACAUGUGCACGUAUUAGUCUCGGUAAUUAUUUAUUGCGUAGCGCUAUAAACAAUGUAUGCAAUUAAGGGUAAUUAAACCUCAACUACCGCCUGCAAAAAUAGCAAACUUUUCCUGCAAAGGCAGGAGCUGCGCUCCUGGGAACGGCUCUAUCCCUCCUGCAGCGGCCCGGGACAGGCCCUCGGAUUUUGGGGGACCCUUCCCUGGCUUUCAGAGUUUCUUGAACGUUCUCUCCCUGGUGCUGCCUCCGCCACCCUUCGGUAGCCACUCGCUCUCGGCUGCUCGCACUAAAGGCGGCCCCUCGUAUUAACAACGGGCCCUACUUCUGCUGUCCCUCCAGGGGCGGACUCGGAGAAGAGCACGGUGGUGGAAGGCGGUGAAGUGCGCUUCAAUGGCAAGGGAAAAAAGAUCCGUAAACCCAGGACGAUUUAUUCCAGUUUGCAGUUGCAGGCUUUGAACCGGAGGUUCCAGCAAACUCAGUACCUAGCUCUGCCGGAGAGGGCGGAGCUCGCGGCCUCUUUGGGACUCACACAGACUCAGGUCAAGAUCUGGUUCCAAAACAAGCGAUCCAAGUUCAAGAAGCUGAUGAAGCAGGGUGGGGCGGCUCUGGAGGGUAGUGCGUUGGCCAACGGUCGGGCCCUGUCUGCUGGCUCCCCACCCGUGCCGCCCGGCUGGAACCCUAACUCUUCAUCCGGGAAGGGCUCAGGCGGAAACGCGGGCUCCUAUAUCCCCAGCUACACAUCGUGGUACCCUUCAGCGCACCAAGAAGCUAUGCAGCAACCCCAACUUAUGUGAGGUUGCCCGCCCGUCUCCUUCUUGUCUCCCCGGCCCAGGUCCCUCUCGCCUCCAGGUCCAUCCAUCCCGUCCGGAAAAGAAGGACCCAGAGGGAAGAAGGAACAGUGGAGGCGGGACGCCCUCCAUCUCCUCGGAGCCCCGCGAGGUCCGGCCCAGCAACUUCCCGGCAUCCGCGCUCUAGCCUGAACCCUGGCCUGGGCCGAGCAGUGGCAGCAGAGAGUGGCCUCGGAGGGAAGCCACUGCCACCUGAGACAGCCCAAGCAGCAAGAUAAACCCGCUCCACCCGACCCGCCGACCUUCAGCUUUGUGGGACUAUCAGGAAAAAACAAAACAAAAACAAAAUGUAGAAAAAGCAAAAGCUCUUUUCUGUCCUGUCAGUCUCCUGUCUCCUUUUGCUCUGUCUGUGCGCUGGUAAAGUCCAGGUCCUCAUCCGUCCGCUGUCCUCAUUCUGCGGCCUCAGCAAAAAGCCACAAGGUCUGAGCGGCCCGGGUCCUGCCCGGCUGACCAUCUCCGGAUCCUGGGACACUCUGCCUGACCAUCUGUGUAGCUGGUGUGGGAAUCUGGGGGCAUUGGAGGGAGGGGGUUUUAUUUAUUGAGAAAUGGACUUCGCCUGAGGCUGUUUGCCAAUUCAAGGUUCUGCUGGGCGCAAGGAACGCACUGUUCAAACGCACUGUUUACUUUAAGCGCACGGGGAGAAACGAAUAAGGAGGACGUGGUGAUUUUUAAUUUAUACAGUAACUUUUGUACUUCUCUGGUAUGGAGAGUUUGGAGCCGAAUGAUUUGCAUUUUUUACAUGUCCGACAUUAUUUAAUAAAUAAUUUUUAAAAGAAAAGAACGAUAAAUGAAGCCAACAUGAUUUUCUCAUUUCGGGAGGAACUCUGUUGCUUCGCCUGGACAAGAAGGAAAAUGCUGAUUUCCUCCUUGGGUAGAAAGAGGGAGCGAGGGCAAAUGGGGAGUAGAGAGAAAACAGGCGAGAACAAGCACUCUAAUUCCAGUGGGCUUUAAAAUAAGACAAAAUCAGCUUUACAACAAUCCCUAGAGGCUCGACCACAGAA
rnacentral:sRNA from 1 species